rnacentral:rRNA from 1 species
AUUGAACGCUGGCGGCAGGCCUAACACAUGCAAGUCGAACGGUAACAGGAAGAAGCUUGCUUCUUUGCUGACGAGUGGCGGACGUGUGAGUAAUGUCUGGGAAACUGCCUGAUGGAGGGGGAUAACUACUGGAAACGGUAGCUAAUACCGCAUAACGUCGCAAGACCAAAGAGGGGGACCUUCGGGCCUCUUGCCAUCGGAUGUGCCCAGAUGGGAUUAGCUAGUAGGUGGGGUAACGGCUCACCUAGGCGACGAUCCCUAGCUGGUCUGAGAGGAUGACCAGCCACACUGGAACUGAGACACGGUCCAGACUCCUACGGGAGGCAGCAGUGGGGAAUAUUGCACAAUGGGCGAAAGCCUGAUGCAGCCAUGCCGCGUGUAUGAAGAAGGCCUUCGGGUUGUAAAGUACUUUCAGCGGGGAGGAAGGGAGUAAAGUUAAUACCUUUGCUCAUUGACGUUACCCGCAGAAGAAGCACCGGCUAACUCCGUG